CACAGGCCAAAACCUCCUUGUCAAACCUUGAACUCGUCAGAUCUCAGAAGCUACACAGGGCUGGGCCUCAUUAGUGCUGGGAUGGGAGACCUGUGGGCAUACCAAGUGCCACAGUGG
rnacentral:rRNA from 1 species